rnacentral:rRNA from 1 species
UACGGAGGGGGUUAGCGUUGUUCGGAAUUACUGGGCGUAAAGCGCGCGUAGGCGGACCAGAAAGUUGNGGGUGAAAUCCCGGGGCUCAACCCCGGAACGGCCUCCAAAACUCCUGGUCUUGAGUUCGAGAGAGGUGAGUGGAAUUCCGAGUGUAGAGGUGAAAUUCGUAGAUAUUCGGAGGAACACCAGUGGCGAAGGCGGCUCACUGGCUCGAUACUGACGCUGAGGUGCGAAAGUGUGGGGAGCAAACAGG